CCCAGCGUAAUUCAAAGCGGUCGACCCGUCCUGUGGGCGCGGCGUGGAGUAGAGCUCCUGCCUGGCUAUUCCUCUCGCCGCGCGGGGCUCCGGACCGACUCCCGCACUUUCUGCUCACCUUUGCCCUCUAUGCUGAGCUCUUAGAGGUCCCAGCUAUGCCAUCCCGGGCUUGCUGGGAUCCGCUGUCUUCCAACAGCUCUUCAGGACCUGGCUCCUGGAGGGCGACACCACCCCCCAACCUAGAAAUUCCACUUUGACCUGUAAUGAAUCCUCCUCCAACGUUCCCAGCGUCGUCUUGGACCCUCUUUUAUUGCAAAAACUACAAAUGAAAUUGAUUAAGAAGGUUUGGGGCAGGAUGCUGACACGAUAUGAUGUUCAUCUGAGUCCAGCUUUUGAAGGGCUGGCUUAGUGGUCACAUAUUCUCCCCCACUUCGGGAAGGGCAACUAACCUGGACCACACAGCUUUAAGAUAAAAAUCAAAACUUAGCCAUUUCUUUGAUCCUAAUGAGGACUUGACAUGGACCAAUGAAUCUGGAACCAUCUUCAGCCUGUGAUCAGUCAUAAUCCAGAAGAAGCCAAGCAGACCACCCAUCACUCUCUGGAGAGAGAGGUGCCCUCAUCUGCCACCUGCAUCCUUUGCUGCACUGAAGGGAGAAUGACUUUAUGAUUCAGACAUGUAACUCAGUGUUGCUUUUUUAAAGUCUAUACAGUGAAGAAAAACAUGUACAGAAAGCAUACGGGAACAACAAAGCAAAUAUAGCAAAGUCUAAACAAGAAGUAGAAUUUAUCUUGGAAAGAACCAAGAUGCCCUUCAACGGAUGAAUGGAUAAGGAAGAUGUGGUCCAUAUACACGAUGGAGUAU